AUGUUGACUCAACCCAGGAAGCAAGGGAUAAGUGGAAAAGGCCCUGGAGCUCUCCCUACCAAGAAAGGAAAUGAAAAAAAUACUUCAUCUUAUCACAAUUAACACCACCAUCAGAGAACUGAAAGAUUCAAGGUGAUUCCCACUAUAUCGACAUUACCUCUUCAGGUUGCCCAGAAUAGAAGAUAUUUUUAUUUUAUUUUAUUUUUAAUUUUUAUUUAUUUAUUUUUGCAUUUUAGGGCCAUACCUGAGGCAUGGGGAAAUUCCCAGGCUAGGCUUCCCAGCCUACACGACAGCCACUGCAAUGCCAGAUCUGAUCCGAGCUGCAUUUGUGACCUACGCCACAACUCACGGCAACACCAGAUUCUUAACCUACUGAGUAAGGUCAGGGAUGAACUUAUAUCCUUGUGGAUGCUAUUUUGGUUCAUUACCGCGGAGCCACAAUGGGAACUUCACCAGAAUAGAAGACAAAUGGUAUUUUUUCCCCGGUUAUUUAUUUUUAUUGUGGUAAAAUAUGGGUAACAUAAAACUAACUAUCUUAACCAUCUCUAAGUGUAGAGUUCAGUGGUAUUAAGUACAUUCAUACUGAUGUGCAACAAUCACCACCACCCAUCUCCAGAAUUCUUUUCUUCUUGCAAAACUGAAACUCUGUUCUCAUUAGAUAAUAACUCUCCAUUCUCCUGUCCCUCCAGCCCCUAGCAACUACCAUUCUACUUAAAAAAAAAAAAAAAAAAAAAAAAACCAACUCUGUCUUUUCCCUAUACCCAGCCUCUGGUAACCACUAUUUUACUCUGUUACUAUGAGCUUAGCUUUUUAAAAAAUUCCAGAGUUCCCUGGUGGUCUAGCAUUUAAAGGAUCCAGCAUCAUCACUGCUGUGGCACAGGUUUGAUCCCUGGUCCUGGAAUUUCCAUAUCCCAUAGACAUAGCAAAUAAUAAUAAUAAUAAUUCCACAUAUAAGUGACAUCAUGCAAUAUUUGUCUUGUGACUGAUUUGUUUCACUUAAAAUGUCCUCCAGUUUCAUCCAUAUGGCAAAUGUCAGGAAUAUCUUUUUUAAGACUGAAUAAUAUUCCUUUAUAUUUGUGUUAUUAUAUAUUCCUAUGUAUUUUGUAUAUACUUAUAUAUUCAUACACACACAGAUAUCUUUCUAUCUAGACAUAUAUCACAUUUUCUUUAUCCAUUCAUACAUCCACAGGGAAGAUAGAUGGUCCUAAAGAAUGACCAGAUGUUAUAAUAAACUCAUUCUGGUAGGGAAUCCAACUGCAAGGACUUUUUCAGAGUGGCCAUUCUUGGAGCAGAUUGGUGAAAUUGUUCAACCACAAUUAUAGGUCUGGCCAAUGCUUUUUCUUCUAUACCAAACCUCAGGAGGAGUUUGUGUUCCUCCGGCAGGGGUGGCAGUAAACCAUUACUGUCUUGCUUCUAGGAUAGGUCACUCUUUGGAUGCACUGAGUUUGCAGGAAUUUUUGUCCAAAUCACCAUUCCAUUGGAUAUCAGGCCAAGCUACUGUGACAAUGAUGACAAUAUCCUGAUGGACCUUGAGGACAGGAAGUUGUAGAUACCCUAGGUGAUUUAGUAAGCAUGGUGUGUGUGCCUGAAGGCAGAUAAUAAACCCCAUGAAUAUUUAGGGGUCUGUCAUCUACUCAGUGAACUUUCUAGGGGUCUGGGGUGUGUUGUGAUAUGCUGCCCCAAAUAAAGGACAAUCUACUGAACAUUACACUCCUAACCUAAGAAAAAGGUACAGUACUUGGUGGGCUUUUUUAGAGUUGGGUAUAAUAUGCCAUAUUUAGGUACAUUAUUUUUACCUAUUACUGAGUCAUUCAACAACUUUAAGGGGGACCGUACAUGGAGAGGUUUUCUUACUGGAUCAAGCUGCAGAGUAGGUAGUUCUGCCUUUGGCCUUUAUAUUCAGGUACUGGAUUUUGGAUCAAAGUUAUCUCCUUCAGCAGUUAUUUUUCUUCUGAGAAGCAGCUCCUGGCUUGCCCCAGAGGUCUGGUGAAAUUGGAUGCCUGAUUAGGGCCUAGCAAGUGACCACGUGACCCGAGCUACCAUGUUAUCUGAUCUACCCAGCCAUAAAAUUAGGGGUCACCAGCAGCAUUCUAUCAUCAAGAGGAAGUGACAUAUAUGGCCUGGGUCCAGCACACCCUAAAGGCACAAGGAGGCUGCCUGAGCAAAUUGUUUACAUUCCUCUCCUACUACUGAUAUUCAUGGUCUCAUGGAGGGUUGUUUAUGAUAAGCUGACUGAGGAAGAAAAAUUGAAAGCCCUGUUUAUAGCUAGCUUUGCACAUUAUGCUGGCUCUGGCCAGAAGUGGAUUGCUGGGGUCUUCCAGUCUUCCUCUGAGAAGGCCUGAGGGGCCUAGAACAGGGAAGUGCAUCCAGAGGCCCUGGAAUGAAGAUACACUGAUUCCUGGGCGUUGGAUAAUGGUUUAGUCUGUUACUUGGAAGGAAACAGACUGAAGGCUUAGUGAUAAGAAGUUUUUUCUUUCUUUCUUUCUUUCUUUCUUUCUUUCUUUCUUUCUUUCUUUCUUUCUUUCUUUCUUUCUUUCUUUCUUUCUUUUUAGUGCUGCCCCCCUGCACCAAUGGCAUAUGGAAGUUGCCAGGCUAGGGGUCGAAUUGGAGCUGCAGCUGCCAGCCACAGCAACAGUAGAUCCCAGCCGCAUCUGCGAUCUACACUGUAGCUCAGAUCUACACUACAGCUCACGGCAACUCGGGAUCCUUAAUCCACUGAGGAGGCCAGGGAUCAAACCCACGUCCUCUUGUAUACUAGUUGGAUGCUUUACCCCUGAGCCACAACAGGAACUCCCGUUUCUCAUUUUCUUUGCUGCUUCUGGUGGGUUCUGGGGGAGAGGCAGACAAGAGGUCAUAAGGGAUCCUCCCUCACCUGUAGUUCCAAUAAAAAAUGACCACAAGCAAGUGCUUGGGAAAAAGGAAUGAAGAUUUGGAGCUAUCAUUCCCUCUCAGACCAGACAAUGCAGGCAAAAUUAAAUAUGUGUAGAUUUCUGAAUUCAGCUCAAAAUCUUUACAGGGCUAUCCCCCACCCACACACUCCAGUUUAUGAUAGUAAAAGUAAAUGAAUGCCUCUAAAACCAAAUUUCAUCUGUAUCAUAUAGCUGUAUUAUACAGCAGAUAUUCUCAGUCAUACUAUGCCAAACAUUGCUUCCAAAUUUGGAGAAACUCCAGCCAUCUCCACAAACUGGUAGCAAACAGUUAUCUUACAGAAAAGCAGAAAUAUUACUUUAUAUAAAGAGACAUGAUUGUAAAACACUUGGCAAGGAGUUUGCUCCCAUUUGAAAUCAGCACUGGGUUUUUCUGUUUCAUCUCCUUCCCAGUCACAACAGGGAUCUGUCCCGGCUGGACCAGGUCCUGGGCAUUUACCCUUUUUGGGGAAACAGAUUCUCCACUAGGACUGGGCCUUUAGGGAGUUCCUGUUGUGUCUUAGUGGGUUAAGAACCUGACUAGUAUCCAUGAGGAUAUGUGUUCAAUCCCUGGCCUUGCUCAGUGGGUUAAGGAUCUGGCUAUUUGGUGUCUGUCACAGAUCUGGCUGUGGUGUAGGUCACAGAUGCAGCUCAAAUCUGGCAUUGCUGUGGCUGUGCUGUAGGCCAGCAGCUACAGCUCUGAUUCAACUCCUAGCCCGGGAACUUGAAUAAGCCCCAGGUGCAACCAUGGGGGGAAAAAAUAGAACUGGGCCCUGGGAGUUCCCACUGUGGCGCAGUGGAAACAAAUCCGACUAGUAUCCAUGAGGAUUCGGGGACAAUCCCUGGCCUCGGUAAGUGGGUCUGGAAUCCGGUGUUGCUGUGAGCUGUGGUGUAGGUCUCAGACUUGGCUUGGAUCCCACGUUGCUGAGGCUGUGGCUGUGGCCAACAGCCGUAGCUCCAAUUCCCCUAGCCUGGGAACGUCCAUAUGCUGGGGGUUCAGCCCUAAAAAGCAAAG
rnacentral:lncRNA from 1 species